AUUGAACGCUGGCGGAAUGCUUUACACAUGCAAGUCGAACGGCAGCACGGGGCAACCUGGUGGCGAGUGGCGAACGGGUGAGUAAUACAUCGGAACGUGCCCAAUCGUGGGGGAUAACGUAGCGAAAGUUACGCUAAUACCGCAUACGAUCUACGGAUGAAAGCGGGGGAUCGCAAGACCUCGCGCGAAUGGAGCGGCCGAUGUCAGAUUAGGUAGUUGGUGGGGUAAAGGCUCACCAAGCCAACGAUCUGUAGCUGGUCUGAGAGGACGACCAGCCACACUGGAACUGAGACACGGUCCAGACUCCUACGGGAGGCAGCAGUGGGGAAUUUUGGACAAUGGGCGCAAGCCUGAUCCAGCCAUUCCGCGUGCAGGAUGAAGGCCUUCGGUUGUAACUGCUUUGUACGGUAACGAAACGGCGAGCUCUAAUACAGUUUGCUAAUGACGGUACCGUAAGAAUAAGCACCGGCUAACUACGUGCCAGCAGCCGCGGUAAU
rnacentral:rRNA from 1 species